rnacentral:rRNA from 1 species
CAGCAGCCGCGGGAAUACAGAGGUCCCGAGCGUUGUUCGGAUUCACUGGGCGUAAAGGGUGUGUAGGAGGUUGGAUAAGUCAGGUGUGAAAUCCCGCAGCUCAACUGCGGAACUGCAUUCGACACUGUUCAACUAGAGGAUCGGAGGGGGAAGCGGAAUUCUUGGUGUAGCGGUGAAAUGCGUAGAUAUCAAGAGGAACACCGGUGGCGAAGGCGGCUUCCUGGAAGAUACCUGACUCUGAAACACGAAAGCCAGGGGAGCGAAUGGGAUUAGAUACCCGGGUAGUCCCUGUCUCUUAUAC